rnacentral:lncRNA from 1 species
GGGAGGGGUUGUUACCUUGGAGACACGUGAUGGGGGGAGGGGUUGGUUACCUUGGAGACACGUGAUGGGGGGUGGUUACCUUGGAGACACGUGAUGUGGGGGGAGGAGUUGGUUACCUUGGAGAUGAAGAUGGUGUUGAUCUUGGGGUUGUGUUUAAAGUUCUGCAGGAUCUGCAUCCUCUCUCCCUGAGAGGCGAGACAGGUUAGAUAUGGGGCCUGAGAGGAGAGACAGGUUAGAUAUGGGGCCUGAGAGGAGAGAGAGACGUUAGAUAUGGGGCCUGAGGUACGAGGUAAUAACAUGGCUAUAUACACAUGGUACCAGUACUGAGUCAAUGUGCUGAGGUAUGACGUAAUAACAUGGAUAUAUACACAUGGUACCAGUACUGAGGUACGAGGUAAUAACAUGGCUAUAUACACAUGGUACCAGUACUGAGGUA